rnacentral:lncRNA from 1 species
GUAUGAUCUGACAAGCAUACCUGUUCGACAUCAGUUAUGGGAAGGCUGGCCAGCUUCUGCCACUGAUGAUUCAAUGUGUCUUGCUGAAUCAGGGCUCUCUUAUCCCUGCCAUCGACUCACUGUGGGACGAAGAACUUCACCUGUACAGACCCGUGAGCAAUCAGAAGAGUGAGACCUCCAAGGAAGGAGAUGCCAAGUAGUGCUUCAAAGCUUCGGACCACAAUCAAACACAGCAUCCUUUUCAACAGAAGCAGAAGCUCAUCUGAAUAUGCUCAAGGAUGCUGACAUCAACAUUUAAUCAUCUCCUCACUCAUCCAGGAAGAAGGGGAGAUCAGUUACUACUGUACUUUAUUGUGUUCAACCAAAUCACCAUGUUACAAAAAUAGCAAGCUGCCAUAAUAAAAAAUAAGGCUCCUCU